GGGCGGUUAGCUCAGUUGGUAGAGCGUCUCGUUUACACCGAGAAGGCCAUAGGUCCGAGUCCUAUACCGCCCACCA
rnacentral:tRNA from 1 species